rnacentral:rRNA from 1 species
UGGCCAGACUCCUACGGGAGGCAGCAGUGGGGGAUAUUGCACAAUGGGGGGAACCCUGAUGCAGCGACGCCGCGUGGGUGAAGAAGCGCCUCGGCGCGUAAAGCCCUAUCGGCAGGGAAGAAGGAGGACGGUACCUGACUAAGAAGCCCCGGCUAACUACGUGCCAGCAGCCGCGGUAAUACGUAGGGGGCAAGCGUUAUCCGGAUUUACUGGGUGUAAAGGGGGCGCAGACGGCAGCGCAAGCCAGGAGUGAAAGCCCGGGGCCCAACCCCGGGACUGCUUUGGAAACUGAGCAGCUAGAGUGCAGGAGAGGUAAGUGGAAUUCCUAGUGUAGCGGUGAAAUGCGUAGAUAUUAGGAGGAACACCAGUGGCGAAGGCGGCUUACUGGACUGUAACUGACGUUGAGGCUCGAAAGCGUGGGGAGCAAACAGGAUUAGAUACCCUCGUA